AUUGCCUGGGAAACUAAGUCACGUGAGAACCUGGGGACGCUAGGUUCCGGAACCUGACCUGAGCUGGGGCCUGUGCUUCCAGCGGGUGGUGGGGGGCCUGGUGUGCUGGCAUCAAGUAAGCCGACUACCUCGGCAAAGGCUUAGGGACAAGAGACCAGCAGCCUGAACUGGCUGGGGCAUCCGGAAGGCUUAGAUCUUGUGGCCAAGAGUUCAGACCGUGGCGAAGUGGAGAGUGACAUGCAGUUGGAUGGCGGUGACUGCGUGGUAUGGAAGAAAAUUCAGCUGAAAUUUGCUAGAAAAUGAGUUGUUUUGGAAAGAGACUGUAGAGAAAGGCAAAUGGAAGAAGAAAGCUUCUGUGCCCCCACAGAUACCGACUGAAAAGUGUUAGCAUGAGCAAAAGUUCCUAUCUAAUAUUAUAUGCUUUCCUUUGCUCCCAGCAUUCCACAAUCACGGGCUACUUCAAUUCUGCCUGCUGAGCUGAUUUAAUAAUCUGGAAGAGGAUUAUUCUCCCCCAUCUGGAAGAGGAUUAUUCUCUAUAAUCCCAGUUAGAGACACAAUGACAUAAACAUCGCUGUCCUGCAACCCUGGUUCCAGUCUGGCAAGCAUUGUAGACCUGGCUGCUGAAGACUGACGGGGCCCAGGGUCCGCUGCCCCCACCGCCAUCACCACCUCGGAACCCAGGGUAACGCUGUCAGUCUUUGGACCAACCUCGCUGUGCCUAACAAGAAUUCCAGAAGUCACCCAUCCGAAAGGCACUGGCCCAUGACACUCUCCACUUCCAAUCUUAAAUCUUUUACUUCAUACCUUGUCUCAGAUCUCUCCUGGUACCCCUUCCCCACGCCCUUAGAUAAUCCAUCUCAAUUCCUCAUGCUAAUUGAGGAGCUAUGGCUGCAAGGCACCUUCCAGGAUUUCACACCUACACAAAUCUCCUUUUUCUCCUUUUGCCUUCUCUGCUUAUGGGAUAUUCUGAGUCCCCACCCCCAAUCACUGACAGCUGGGCCCCCUUCAUCAGCCUCACACACCACGUAUUAAGUCAGUCACAAUCUCCCCUCUCCUCUAACUGCUGGAUUUGUCUUUCUACACACACCCAAUGAUUCACGGCUCUUCCGGCUGACCUACUUACAUGGACACAGUCCAACGUGAGCUUACACAUUUCUUACUUGGCUAUACCAUUCUUGGCUGAUUCAUUCCUGAAACCGGUUCAUAACCUGGAAACUCAGCUAAACACCUUUCCUUCAAACUCAGCUCUCUCAGCAUGGUUUCAGGUAGGGCUGUUGCCCUCCUUCACCUAAUAGCUUCUGGACUAACAUCCAUACAAACCAACACAGCAUCAUCUAAACCACCAAUAUGGGGGUACCAUUUCUACUCAAACUUCCUUCAUAUCCCCACCCCCCUUAUGUCUCAGCCGAACCUACCCUAAUCCAGCCCACGCCACAAUGGUGGGACAGGUUCCCCAGUCCCUAUGUGGUCUUAUUUUUACCCUUGCACUCCCUGUAGACCAUCAAUUCUACACCCUAAUUACAAAAUCAUAUCCACCUCUGCCUGGCAGAAGGUGUUAUGCUUUUCUGGCUCGCCUACCAUCCACACAUCCCUACACCUCACCACCGGAUCCUCUUUUCUUUCCUUCCAUCCAAUUCCUGGCUUCCCCGCUGCCAACUCUGCUCUCUAUGUCUCCAGUUUAAAGGUGCCCCCUGGAAAAAAUGUAACAAUUCCCUCACCUGUGACUGGUACCUGACAGCCACCACACCGGGGCAGCAAUGGCUAACGGUUGACAAAGACAAUUUCUUUCUCUCUCCAAAACCAAACAGCCUUCAUCAACUCCCUAGCCAAGACUCCCUAUCAGGCCCUUACAGGUGCCGCUCUGGCUGGCAGUUACCCAAUUUGGGAAAACGAAAAUACCCUAUCAUGGCUACCUACCUUCACCUACAACUUCUGCCUGUCCACCCCCAGUCUCUUCUUUUUGUGUGAUACAAACUGAUAUCUUUGCCUACCAGCCAACUGGUCAGGAACUUGCACCCUGGUCUUUCAGGCUCCAACCAUCAACAUCCUACCCCCUAACCAAACUAUUCUAAUUUCUGUAGAAGCCUCUAUCUCCUCUUCACCCAUAAGAAAUAAAUGGGCUCUACAUCUCAUCACCCUGCUAACAGGAUUAGGCAUCACUGCUGCACUUGGCACUGGAAUAGCAGGCAUAACCACCUCAAUCACCUCAUACCAAACACUAUUCACAACCCUUUCUAACACCGUAGAAGAUAUGCACACUUCCAUUACCAGUCUCCAACGACAAUUAGACUUCCUCGUGGGAGUCAUCCUUCAAAACUGGAGAGUCCUGGACCUCCUAACCACUGAGAAAGGGGGUACCUGCAUAUACCUCCAGGAAGAAUGCUGUUUCUGUGUUAAUGAAUCUGGCAUUGUUCAUAUCGCAGUUCGUAGGCUUCAUGACAGGGCUGCAGAGCUUUGACAUCAAGUCGCUGACUCCUGGUGGCAAGGAUCAUCCCUUCUAAGAUGGAUACCCUGGGUUGCCCCCUUCCUAGGACCCCUGAUCUUCCUCUUCCUGUUACUAAUGAUUGGGCCAUGCAUAUUUAACCUUGUAUCCCGCUUCAUUUCCCAAAGGCUGAAUUGUUUUAUCCAGGCAAGCAUGCAAAAACACAUUGAUAAUAUAUUUCACCUUUGCCACGUCUAAUACCAGAGCCUACGAGGAAACCAUUCGGAAGCUCCAGAACCCAGGCCCUAAUCACAACGCCCCUAUCCAGCAGGAAGCAGCCAGAUGAUCAACGACGCCCUUUUUCCUUUUUAUACUAAAGUAAGAAAUAAGAAUGUUAGCCCAAACUGCACUAUUUUGCAGACCCCUACCAUUUUACAAACUGGUCAGAGUGGAAAAUUCCACCAGGGCCUGAGCUGUGAGAAACAUCCUGUCAGGCAGGUCCCAGGCCUAACCCCUGGCUGCACUAAAUUCCUUCAUUAUCAGCAGCCAAACACACCGCCCCCACCCCAUUUUCACAACAAUCCCAGACCUCUCCUGCCCGGGACUGUAACUGGUCCAGCCUGUAAGCGGGAAGGGGGCUCUGGCACUAGCUGGUACCCCCUCUCCGCAGGUCUUUCUCCCAAUAAAUCUGUGUUGCCAUUGA
rnacentral:lncRNA from 1 species